rnacentral:rRNA from 1 species
UACGUAGGGGGCAAGCGUUGUCCGGAAUCAUUGGGCGUAAAGAGCGUGUAGGCGGCUUGGUAAGUCCGCUGUGAAAGUCCAGGGCUCAACCCUGGAAUGCCGGUGGAAACUGUCAAGCUUGAGUCCGGAGGAGGCGAGUGGAAUUCCUGGUGUAGCGGUGAAAUGCGCAGAUAUCAGGAGGAACACCAAUGGCGAAGGCAGCUCGCUGGGACGGUACUGACGCUGAGACGCGAAAGCGUGGGGAGCAAACAGG